CAGUCGUGCACCACCGUCCAUCGUGCUCUUCCGUCGUCCACCGUUCCCCCCUGCCACCACUGUUGUGUCGCCGUCGUCGACCCUAGGGGGUUGUUUGAUCUUCUUCUUAUUGAAGGAAAAACUACAGAAGCUUGCUGUAAGUUCUAGCUUCAUCACUAUCAUCCUCCUCCUCUAUUCUCUCUAAAAUUCCCCCUUCCAAAAUAGCCAAAGCACACACAAACUUCUGGAUUCUCACCCAAAGAAUAUGGAGGUUUCAUCAUGGUGGUGUCCUCCAUCAGUUCGAGGGAUUUUCUCAAUUGAAGAUUAGUCUUCAAGGUUUGGGUCCCAUCUCGUUUUCCGCUCAAGGACCUACAAUGAUUCCUUCAGUUGGUAUCAGAGCGAGGUUUUUUGCCCAAUUUUUUUUUUCAAAAUUUCAGAAUUAAUUUUACAGUUUCUGGUGGGAUUUAGCAUUCUGUAUAAUUCAUGUGAUGAUUGUUAAUGAAUGUGGUUUUGCAAUUAUGGAUGGUUUUCGGGAUUGGGCAUUUAGUUUAUUGUUUUGUUUUUACAAUUUUAUUUGUAAGGACCCAUGUUGUGGGGCAUAAUUUUUGCGAU